UGGGAGUCCAAGGCGCGAAGAUCGCUUGAGCCGAGGAGUUAGAGACCAACUUGGGCAACGUAGGAGACCUCCGUCUCCACAAGUAAAAUUAAUUAGCCGGCUGUGGUGGCGCGCACCUGUGGUCCCAGCUACUCAGGAGGCUGAGAGAGGAGAUGAUGUGUCCAAGGUCACUCUGAGAACUGAACAGAGGGCCGCCUUCUGGGACCCAAGACUCCAGGUUCCAGCCCACUGCCCAGCUGCCUCACCCUGUCAUGAGCACAAUAAAGGAGUUUCAUGAUU
rnacentral:lncRNA from 1 species